AAAUAAUUAAACUUCCUUAUGGAAAACAGAAAUGAGCUCUCGACUGGGAAUUUCAGGUAACACUGAGAAGUGCAUGACUUCUUGGUGGAAAAAAAAACCCAGAAAACCACAGGCUAUGGAUUCAAGUAGGUUUUUUCUCUUGUAACCUCAUGAUAAGACUAGCAUGACUUGGCUUGGUAAAUAAUAAGCAUUUACUAAAGUGAUGAUUUUAGUUUUUGUCAAUGUCUUCUCUCACCAAAGAGAUAUUUUCUUGAAACCUACAGUUUUUAAGACCUUUGCUGUUUAUUUAACAACAUUCUAAAUUAGCUUUAUGUCAAUAGAGUUGCAUCUCAUUCAUGGACUGGGGUCUAAAAAAAAUGAGAAAUUUGCAUAGAUCAGGUUAUCCUUAAUUUAUCCAUAAUGGAUGG